CAUUUUACUGGCCUCAGAGGAAAAGAGAGAAGUACAUUCAAAAUAUCAAUCAGAACUGAAAAGCAAAAAUGGUCCUCAAAUGUGUAUAAUACAAAUGUUUAAAAGGUUUUACAAAUUUGUGAUUUUAUUUUUUAUUUUGAAAAAAAUAAAAAUCUACAGAAAAUUUACAAUAGUACAAUAUCCUUUUUCUCUCUAAGCGUAUGCACACACACACAUUUUUGCUGAACAUUUUAUUUAUUUGUUUUAAACAUUUAUUUGUUUUUGAGAGGGUACGUAUGCACAAGCAAAGGAGGGAUAGAGAGAGAGACACAGAAUCCGAAGCAGGUUCCAGGUUCUGAGCUGUCAGCACAGAGCCCAACUUGAACUGUGAGAUCAGGACCUGAGCCAAAGCCAGACAUCCAACCAAUGGAGCCACAUAGGCGCUCCACUGAACAUUUUAGAGGGAAAGGCAGGUCUAAAACUUCAUAGAACUGAUGGGUCAGAGAAAAAAAAAACCAGAAGGAGACUGGUCAGGAAGUUAUUGAAGAAGUCUACCAAGGAGGGCUAUAAAAGGAAAUGUAGGAGAUGAAAGAAAAGUAUUAAUUGGAAGCAACCUCAAUGUCUAAAAAGAGGAAGGAUAAAAUUAUGAUACCCUAACUCAAUGAAAUUUAUAAACAUACUUAAUAUGAAAAUUAGACAUGGACAGGAAAACAAAACAUGACUUAAUUUGGACUGAGAUCAGAAGACAAGCCAAAAAUUAAACUAGAUGCAGGAUAGCAGUAAAAUUAUGUUUCUCUCUAAAUAUUCCUUUAAUGUCAUUAUAAAUCUUUACCUGUCUAAAUUUUUUCUGUUGAUUCAAAGUGAGGAGAAGUAAAAAGCAAAGUUCAAUCUCUAUGAAGCUGUGUCUAACAGAAGAAUGAAGACUCAGGGAGCAUAACCCAGAAAAAAAAAAAAUUGUUUCUCCCUCUACCUCCUUCCUUUUUUUUCAUUAUCAGGUUAGUUAACAUUCAGUAUAGUCUUUCAGGAAUAGAACCCAGUGACUCAUCUCUUAUAUAUGACACCCAGUGCUCAUCCCAAGAAGUGCCCUCCUUAAUGCCCAUCACCCAUUUAACCCACUUCCUUCCAUCAACCCUCAGUUUACUUCUGUAUUUAAGAGUCUCUUAUGGUUUGCCUCCCUCUUUGUUUUUAUCUUAUUUUUCUUUCCUUUCCCAAUGUUCAUCUGUUAAGUUUCUCAGAUUCCACACAGGACUGAAAUCAUACGUCUUUCUCUGACUUAUUUUGCUUAGUAUAAUACCCUCCAGUUCCAUCCACUUUGUUACAAAUGGCAAGAUUUCAUUGUUUUUCAUUGCCAAGUAGUAUUCCAUUGUGUAUGUAUACCACAUCUUAAUCCAUUCAUCAGUUGAUGGACAUUUGGGCUCUUUCCAUAAUUUGCCUAUUGUUGAUAGUGCUGCUAUAAAAAUUGGGGUGCAUGUGCCCCUUUGAAUCAGCAUUUUUGUAUCCUUUGGAUAAAUUCCUAGUAGUAUAAUUGCUGGGUCACAGGGUAGUUCUACUUUUAAUUUUUUGAGGAAUUUCCACACUCUUUUCUCCCUCCAUCUCCUUCUUAACUGGCAUAAUCACUUAUUCCAGUCUUCAAAAUGAAGUUUCUUUGUUCAGAGUAGGUUGUACCUUUCAGUCCUCAUAGAAAUUAUAGAUUCAAGUUUUUUAUCUUCCUAUUGUGCACCAUACUAAAAGUGUGUUGCUUCAAAUGCCACUUCAGGUACAAAUGCCAGACACUGUGAGCACAGUCUUUUCAAUGACUAAGACCUUUAGACUCUGCCUGAUCCUCACAGAGCCAGUAACAGCCACUAGAUGACACCAACAGAAAGUAGAAGACUACAUUUUAUGAUAUAUUUCAAUAAGGUUCCAAAUAAAAUGGGGUGAGGGGAGGAGCUUUCUGUUCAACUGAAAGUUAACCAAAACACUCAAACCUAGAAUUAAAAAGUCAAAUAUUUAAUGCACCCCUAAUAUGUGCUUGCCUUCCAGCAUUCUAGUUAAUCAAGGCUUGAACCAUUUUAGAAAUCAGUCUACCAUAGACUUCAUCUUCCAUAGUUACUGCCAAUCUCAGUGUGGCCUUGACUUCUGAGCCAACAGUUAUAUAAUUUGCUACCUAGAUGUUCUUGUGACAAAUAGCUUUUGUGCAAUAUUUUAAUUUUUAGCAUUAUUUAGAUUUAAGAACCAUCUGGUUUGGAGGCACUGCAAGUUAUAAGGAAAGCUCUAGAAAUACUCUUUGAAAAAACAGACAGGGUUGGCUAGUAUUUCCUAGAAUGAUUUAGGUACAAUCACAGACACAAGCAAAUUGAAAUCAAUAUAUUAUAUUACUAAAGCAUUUAAACAUAUGCUGCCCUAAAACUGCAACCACUCAAUAGAUUCAUCAUGUCUUAGGGCAGCAAAGAAAUUGAAGAAAAUGGAGUUUUAAGGAAAAAACUAAAAGCAACUCACCUGUACUGCAUAUUUGUAAAACUGUUCUGAUAGUUCUCCUAGCUCCUCCCUAGUUUUACAGGUGUUGGGAAAUUCCUCAAGCCGGUCCAACUGUUCCACUUCGGCAACAGGAUAUGGCUUCUCCUUCAAGACCUGCACAAUCUGGAAACGGCACAGGCCUGUAAUCAGCAAAGUAUAGUGGGGCUUGGGCCAGUUGCUGCCUACAACCUGAACCGCCAGGGCAGCCGUCCCAAUCCUGAAAAACACACAAAACAGCAGCAUUACAAAUGUUCAGUGUGGUAAAACUGACCCUUGCCUCAAAAGGUUGCCUUUGUUGAGAAAUCCUUUAAAGAACAAAGAACAUCUGAAGUGGAAAUGAUUUCUCUAAUUUAGCAUCCAGCACAUGGUCUAUGAAGUCAUUACCAUGAGCAGGGGGGGCAAAGCAGGCCAUCUCAUUCUAAUUACUACCUCCUUUAAGAUUAGGUAGAAAUUCCUAAAAAUAAAAAUGUAAAAGUAGUUGACAAUUACAUAGCUUAAAUUCAUUUUGCUAGGAAUUAGGCAAUAUUAUACCAGAAUACUAGCAUUUUAAACAGACUGAAAUAUAAACAGCAUGAUGUUAAACCAACCUAAGAAAUCUGUUCUAAUAACCAGUUUUGCUAACAACAUCAAGCCAGGUUUUUUUACAGAAUCAAUUACUGAAACUUCCACUUAUCUACCUUAUCACAAACUGUCACCAAAUCUGAAAAUUAACAUCUAUGUCCAUGAAUAUGAAAUUUCUAAAUGUGGGGACUAAAUAUUAGAGGGCACACACUGUCAUGAAUGAUUAAAGUUAUAAACCUAAACCUAAGUGGUAAACACCCCAUCUAAUACUAACUAAAAAAGUUCUAUUUAAGUCUUAGCUCCUUAUCAGAACAUAGAAUUCUGACCAAGUCACAUAUAACCUUAAUUCAUGGAAAGGAAGUCUCACCCAAACUAAGCCAAAAUUAUACAAAAUACAAAGCUCCACAUUCAGAAGACACGUCUAAAUCCUAAACUAAAAUUAUAUCUUCUCCCCUCAGCCACAGGAAGGGUUGCAAUUUCAGGAAAGAAACGAAGUAAGGUGACUAGAACUCCCAACACCCUGGGGAAAUGGUAAUCCUGGAAUAUCGCAACUGCCCAUCUCAAACAUACUGAAUCACACACAGUGUGAAUAUUUCAGUGAAUUUGCUUACUUCUAUACACUAUUUAUUCUUGACUACUUCCUUAUAAAUUAUUCAUUCCAUAGAUUAUGUGGAACUUUUGGCUUCCCUCUGCCAUUCAGUUUAUUUUGAGUGAUGUCCAACUUUCCUUCACCCUUUCAGUCAUAUCAUGUGUACAUGGAUAAAAACUGAUUCAAAUGGUAUCCAAACCCAAAAAAUCAGGAAGAUAAUUUGGUGGGAAGAAAAAAUAUGAUAUACUUUAAAAAACCUAAGAUAAUUUGGCAAGUCCCUAUUGUUUUAUUUGUGUUGUGGCUGCUUUUCUUCAGUCAUAAAUGGUAGUAGGCUAUACCUCCCACUUCCUGAAAACCAACUCAGAUUGCCUGAGAAAGUUAGCAAUACCUGAACUGAUCAGAGACCAAAACUACAAUUCCCUUCGGAUGACGACCAUCAAUGCUUGCGCAAUGCAGAGAGGUCACAGUUCUGUCUGCCAGCAACAUUAACAGACAACAAACAAACUGGAUCCGUGGCCUAAGGAGUCUGCAAACUGGAAACCAAGGAGAACCCAAAGUGAUAUGAGACAAGUCCAAACGUUCAGAUUAGGAGAUAAAUUUUCAUUAUUUGAGCCAUGUCCUUGAUUAAAGUGAGACUAAAAAUGAGUUUUCUUACAAAGCAAGCAGAAUACUUUCACUAACUGUGAAAGGAAGAUGUUUCAGACUGAAAAGAGAUCGAGUUGGAUUUAUACAAUGCCUCUCCUCCUAAUGAGAUAAAAUAUAUAAAGGUUUUACAUUCGUUAAUUGGGUUUUACUUUAAAUCACUUAUAGCUGACUAGAAUGUACCCUUUUUAAAGAAAAAACAUGAUCUGUGAAAUGAUAGGUGGUUAGAAAGAGUAUCUGGUGAAAGACAUUUUGGGUGGAAAGCUCUUGUGAAAAAGGACCAUGUUUAAUGUUAUUUUAGACAAGUUUUAUUGUAUUGGGGCAAUAGUUUAUACAUAUAUAGGUAAUAAGUAAAUAAAAUAUUUAAUUAAUCUAAUAUGUUCCUACUAUGAUAACAGGCUUUGAAUUAAAUCAGUCAUCUUUCUAAAUAUUCUAGUUCUUCUAUUAAUAUUUGCUUUAUUAGGCUUGACCAAAAGGCAACAUUCUGAUUUUCAUACAUUCAAAUGAGUAGUGUUCCUUCCCUUUAGGUAGUAGGCUCUGUAAAUCCACACUUUAAUUACUGUGAUAUUUUAUAGUUCAAAGAAUUUUUGAAAGUCCUAACUGGGACCUCCUUUCAGAGUUGUAAAAUAUUGUUUUAAUCCAAACAAAGUCUGAUUAGGAUGGGUAUGAUUUAUGUACUUUGAAAACGGACUUAGAUAAUUUAAGAGUUCCAAAAAUAUUUGAGAACUAUCAACUGUAGUGGUGGGAAAACCUAAAAGCAGCACUACAGUUUUCUAAGAUGAGUGUUGUGUAAAUACCCAUACUCUGGUUUAUAUGCCAACCACUUUCUUUUCUUUUUUCUUUUUUUUUUUACUUUAAAGCUCUCCACCUUUAUUGGAAUCUUCAAUCUUCCAAAUCUUUUUCUGUAAUGACACUAGUUUAGUUCUGGCCAUGUUGAAAGAAUAUGGGGCCUCCCCCAAUCUCCAUUUGUGAAACUUACAUAUAAAACUAUACCUAUUUGGGGAAAAAUAA